rnacentral:lncRNA from 1 species
GAUUCCAUUACGGGCUACCAUUCUCUCAUUAACUUUCAAGAGAGUUGGAGUUUUACCUAAGCUAUUGCAUCUAUUUUGUUAGAGGGAAGGUGCAAGUGGGUACCUAGUGCUUGUUAAAAGUUCUCUCCAAAUAAUUUAGGGGCCGUUAGGUAACGUUUUUAAGACUCCGUUUUCAUUUUCUAUUAAAAAUGCGUAUGUCUUUUUCAUUUUUAUUAGAAAUCGUUUUAUGAAAAUAAAUU